ensembl:lncRNA
GAAAAGAUGACAUAAAAUUUGUCACCAAGGCUGAAGUCCUGCAUGAUAAUAGACAAGUAAGGAAGGACAUUAUAGUCACUGAGGUGUUCAGAGGGAAGAUCAGUGAGGUUUGAGGGCUGUCCUCCUACAUGGGAAGAACUGAAAUGAAAGCUGGAGUCUGGGUUUCACAGUAGAGAGAGAUGGAAAAUUGUAGUAAGCUCUGUGAAGUAUCUGUGUGUAAAUGCAGUGAGAGUAGCUGUUAAAGGAGCAGAAAGAUCAUGACUAUGUGUCAGAAGAUACAGAGCGUGAAGAGUAAGUUUUGUCUCACCUUCAAAAAUCUCUUCAAAAAUCUUUGAAUUAGUCAUCCAGAUUCCCUUUAUAGUCAAUAAAUACUUCCAGAGAGUGAGUCACCUGACCUAAUUUAGACGUCUAUCUUGAGAUGGGAUGAAUCACACACUCAAAGUAUCUAUUGACAUCUGUUGACUAUAAAAGGAACCAGAACUUGCUUAAAUGGAGAAAUCUACAUUGCAGAUGAAUCCUGUCCUUAGGCAUUUUACAAAGUAACUUGAUAAAUACAAGGAGAAUCCAUUCUUUUCAGGAGAUAUGUAUAAUUUCCUGAAGGAAACAGAACAUCCAAAUAUUUGUCUUGGUUAAUAAGAGAAGACAGAGGAAUAAUGAAGAGGGUUUUCACAAAGUGAUAUGCUGGGAAGAUGAGAGUAAUGCAUUUUUUCUCUAUGGCGGCAGAGGGGCAGUCUGACAAAAUGGCGUCUGAUAUGGAAGUGUGUAUGGAACAAAGGCACCUCACUGAAUUCCUCCGUGGAAAAAAUGGCACCCAUUGACAUCCAUUGAUGUUUGCUGAACGUUGAUGGAGACCAAAUAGUGGAUAUGAGCUCAGAGAGGCAGUGGGUGGGUGGUGAGUUUCAACACUGGUGACAGCAACAGUGGGUCACCUCCGCUGGCACAGAUUUUUACAAGCGCGACAUGCGUGCUCAUCUUCAUCUCGGGUGAAAAUGCAUAAAAUAGUGUUAUUGUCUUUUUGGUAUGUGUGGUAGUUUGCAUGUAAAUAAAUGGGAGGCAUUAUUUUCAGAGCAGCCUGAAACUUCAGGAAAUUUUAGUAACAAGUAAUUAUGAAAUAAAAGAAUGCUACUCACAUGAACAUGGUAGAGGUAAGAGAAAACUGGUAAUCACUGAGGAGGGAAAUAUAGAAUAUAAAAAUCUUUGGCAUUAUGUCUUUGGCUUGUUUGGCUACUUGGUAUUAGAGGUUUCAGCACAUUAGCUUUUAUAGAACAAAUACAUUCUGUGAAGGGAUCUGUUCCAUUAAAAGGCUCCUAUUAUGAACUGACCUGCUACAGUCAUACAGAUGCAGUCUUUCACAUUAUCCUGAACUGAAUAAAUAUCAAUCAUUUUCUUUACUUUGAAAAAUCACAGUUAUUCCUCUAUUUUAACAGUCCCCUUACUUUCCUGUACUGCAAGUCAUUUUUAGUUAUUCUGAUGAGUCAUAGCCAGCAUAUUAUUCUGCAGCAUUUCACUCCAUUUUCUUUUUUGCUAAAACUUUGCCUACAGUAACUUUGGCCCCGUUAGUCCUUGAUUUGUCCCAUCCAACACUCAAGCUUAUAACUGACAUAGGAAAUUAAUAACUUUAGGCUUCCUGAAUAUGUUAUAGGCACCUUGAAAAUGUAAAUUCAUGCUGCUGCACCCCAGUGCUGCAUAUUCCCAGUUCAGUGAGUACUGAAAAAAGCUUCAAGUGAUAGCUCAGAUAGAGGUACCUCAAGAGGGAUUAAUUCAGAUCCUGAUUUCUUUAAAUCAGUACUUUUAAAAAUAAACUAACUUUCAUACAGAUGCAUACAGAAAAUUUACCAGUGCAACUGGUAAAUACCAGGCAGAUUUGAGGUUCAUUAUCAUAGAAUCAUAGAAUCAUAGAAUGGUUGAAGAGGACCAUAAUGAUCAUCUAGUUUCAACCCCCCUUGCUAUGGGCAGGGUUGCCAACCACUAGACCAGGCUGCCCAGAGCCACAUCCAGCCUGGCAUUGAAUGCCUCCAGGGAUGGGGCAUCCACAACCUCCUUGGGCAACCUGUUCCAGUGCAUCACCACCCCCUGGGUGAAAAACUUCCUCCUAAAAUCUAACCUAAACCUCCCCUGUCUUUGUUUAAAACCAUUCCCCUUGUCCUAUAGCUAUCCACCCUCGUAAACAGCUGUUCCCCCUCCUGUUGAUAUGCUCCCUUCAAGUACUGGAAGUCCACAACGAGGUCCCCCCAGAGCCUUCUCUUCUCCAAGCUAAACACGCCCAGUUCCCUCAGCCUUUCUUGAGAGGUGCUCUAGCCCUCUGAUCAUCUUAGUGGCCCUCCUCUGUACCCACUCCAAUUGCUCCACAUCCUUCCUGUACUGGGGGCCCCAGGCCUGGACACAGUACUCCAGAUGGGGCCUCCCAAGAGCCGAGUAGAAGGGGACAAUCACCUCCCUCUCCCUGCUGGCUACACCUUUUUUAAUGCCCAGAACACAUUUGGCCUUCCGGGCUGCAAGCGCACUGCUGGCUCAUGUCCAGCUUCUCAUCCACCAGGACCCCCAAGUCCUUCUCCACAGGGCUGCUUCCAAGGGUUUCUUCACACAAUCUGUAUAAACACCUGCAGCACUCAACCCAAGUGCAGCACCGUGCACUUGGCCUUAUUGAACCUCAUUAGAUUUUCAUGGGCCCACUUCUCCAGCCUCUCCAGGUCCCCCUGGAUGGCUUCCCUUCCUUCCAACGUAUCGACUGCACCAUUCAGCUUGGUGUCAUCUGCAAACUUGCUGAGGGUGCACUCGAUGCCAUCCAUCGUCUGUGUCACUGAUGAAGAUGUUGAAGAGCACUGGUCCCAAGACCGACCCCUGAGGGACACCACUUGUGAGUGGCCUUCACCCUGACACAGAACCAUUGAUCACAGCUCUUUGGCUGUGUCCAGCCAGCCAGUUCCUAACCCAUCGAACAGUCCAUCUUUCAAAUCCUCACCUCUCCAAUUUAGAGAGAAUGUGGUAAGGGACUAUGUCUGGGAAGAUUACAUCUGUUGCCCUUCCCCUAUCCACCGAAGCCGUCAUUCCAUCAUAGAAGGCCACCAGAUUGGUCAGGCAGGAUCUGCCCUUGUUGAAGCCAUGCUGGCUGUCUCAGAUCACCUCCUUGUGUCGCAUGUGCCAUAACAUAGCUUCUAGGAGGAUCUGCUCCAUGGUCUUCCCAGGUCUCACAGAGGUGAGACUCACCAGCUUGUAGUUCCCUGGGUCUUCCUUUAAUGGCAUAAUGGCAUUGGUGACCUUUAAAUCUAUGCACCCACAGUUUAAGAUACAGGGCUGAGGGAAAGCAUCUACUAUUAGUCUGGCUAUAAAUCUUUUACUAAGUGAAAAGACUAUUACAUCUAUAUCAAUGUGCUCUACAGCCCUGUAGUGAAAAAUCAUGAAAAUGAGUAUAUUGCUGAAAUAUAUAAUAGUGGACUGUAAAAUGAAGCAAAGUUUUAAUGACCAGUUUGCAAUGUUCCAUGUAGUGUACAAUUCACAACAAGAUUGAUCACAGUUGCCUUUCUUGAGAUAAAUAUUUGUUCCAAAAGUUUGCUUUCCUUUUCUAUAUAAUUGUUUUGGGGUUUUUUGUUUGUUUGUUUGUUUGUUUUUGUUUUGUUUUGUUUUUUUUUCCUAUGGAAGAUAAUUUUCUGAUAACUAACAACUGAUGUUCAGUUUGUACCAGUGUUCUUUCUUUGCUACUCUGUAAACGAGCUCACAAUCUUACAGCUGCUGAGGUUGUUGCAAAAAGUCUUGGUUUCUUCAUCAAAGUAUUUUUUUUACAUAUAAAAUGGAUGGGAACAUUUUCUGAACCUUCAGUAUUUCCCUUGUCCCUUCUUUUGUUCUUGUUUGUUUGUUCUUAUUCAGUCUCAUCAUCUUCUGGCAUUGUUCUUGACUAAUUGUAACGGACUGAUUGCUAACAUGUGUUGUCAAUGGAUUGUUUGCUGGCAUAUCUGACAAUAUUACCAUCUACUUCAGCCGUUUAUAAAUUUUGGUGUUUUUAU